UACGGAGGGAGCUAGCGUUGUUCGGAAUUACUGGGCGUAAAGGGCGCGUAGGCGGCUUGGUCAGUCCCGUGUGAAAUCCCUCGGCUCAACUGAGGAACUGCACGGGAAACUGCCUGGCUUGAGUUCGGGAGAGGGAAGCGGAAUUCCGGGUGUAGCGGUGAAAUGCGUAGAUAUUGGGAAGAACACCAGUGGCGAAGGCGGCUCACUGGCCCGUAACUGACGCUGAGGUGCGAAAGCGUGGGGAGCAAACAGG
rnacentral:rRNA from 1 species